rnacentral:rRNA from 1 species
AUUGAACGCUGGCGGCAGGCCUAACACAUGCAAGUCGAGCGGAUGACGGGAGCUUGCUCCUGGAUUCAGCGGCGGACGGGUGAGUAAUGCCUAGGAAUCUGCCUGGUAGUGGGGGACAACGUUUCGAAAGGAACGCUAAUACCGCAUACGUCCUACGGGAGAAAGCAGGGGACCUUCGGGCCGUGCGCUAUCAGAUGAGCCUAGGUCGGAUUAGCUAGUUGGUGAGGUAAUGGCUCACCAAGGCGACGAUCCGUAACUGGUCUGAGAGGAUGAUCAGCCACACUGGAACUGAGACACGGUCCAGACUCCUACGGGAGGCAGCAGUGGGGAAUAUUGGACAAUGGGCGCAAGCCUGAUCCAGCCAUGCCGCGUGUGUGAAGAAGGCCUUCGGGUUGUAAAGCACUUUCAGCGAGGAGGAAGGGUGGUGUGUUAAUAGCACAUCAUUUUGACGUUACUCGCAGAAGAAGCACCGGCUAACUCUGUGCCAGCCGCCGCUGUAACAC